CAAUGAUGAGAUUAACCUUUAAAUAGCUGGAAUUACCGGCAGACUGCAGGUGGUGAGACUGGUCUCUGAGG